UUGUUGAGACUGCGGAUGACAUUA
rnacentral:rRNA from 1 species